rnacentral:rRNA from 1 species
AGCUCCAAUAGCGUAUACUAAUGUUGUUGCAGUUAAAAAGCUCGUAGUCGAAUUUCCAGUUUACCUAUAUUUAACCUUUCAGGUUUUUAUGUCGGUUUACUUCCUGACAGAAACGUUCAUGUCAUUUAUUUGGCGUGAUUUGGGACUGUCUCAUUUACUUUGAGAAAAUUAGAGUGUUCAAAGCAGGUAUCUGCCUGAAUAUUACUCUUGGAAUAAUAAGAUAGGACUUCAGUUCUAGUUUGUUGGUGAUCUGGGACCGGAGUAAUGAUUGAUAGGGGCGGUUGGGGUCAUUCAUACUGCAAAGCGAGAGGUGAAAUUCUUGGACCUUUGUAUGAUGAACAACUGCGAAAGCAUUUGACUAGGACGUUCCCG